rnacentral:rRNA from 1 species
AAAUUGAAGAGUUUGAUCAUGGCUCAGAUUGAACGCUGGCGGCAGGCCUAACACAUGCAAGUCGAACGGUAACAGGAAUCAGCUUGCUGAUUCGCUGACGAGUGGCGGACGGGUGAGUAAUGUCUGGGAAACUGCCUGAUGGAGGGGGAUAACUACUGGAAACGGUAGCUAAUACCGCAUAACGUCGCAAGACCAAAGAGGGGGAGCUUCGGGCCUCUUGCCAUCGGAUGUGCCCAGAUGGGAUUAGCUUGUUGGUGGGGUA